AUUUAAGCAAUUUUCUAAAUAAUAGGAAGGCCCCAGUUUCCUUCAUAAUCUGUAACUUUAUCAUUUAGCUCUGUGAUAAAUUCACAAAAAUGAUCUAUUUGGUUUUAUCUUGUGUGUGUAAGACAUACAUUUAAAAGCUCAGCUAUUCUUUGCAUCUUGGAGCAAUGAUGUCAGGCAUGGGAGACUAAGCUUAGGCUGGCUUUGGAUCCCACCUACACACGCUGGUGCUACUGACUCAUCCUGCAGCUCAGGCUGUACACACCACUCUCUAAGCCUCAGAUGACCUACGACAAGAACUACGAAUUAGAACUGACUCUUGCCUGUUCAGCCAAGGACAUUGCUCUGGCUGUGAUGAGGAGCUGGUUUUAACUGCACAUGAACAGAGUGAGAGUGGCUGCAUAGGAACAGGAAGUAUAUUUUCGUCUCCCGAAGUCCAUAAAAACUUAUUAAGAUACAAAGUGAAGUCUGCAAGGGUGAUCUGUGAAUGCCAGCGAGCUCCUUAUGAUAAACAGUAUAUUAAAAAGCACUGAAGCAUGCUGUGAUAAACGACAUCCUUCCUUGCAGUUGUAAUAUAUACAGUAAGCAAGAGAUAUCAUCCUGUAUUCAAUCAAAAUGAGGACCAGAGUCUUUGUUCCUUCCACACAUCAGCUACAAAAUGUGAUUUUUGUUUUAAUCUGAUCAGCGCCUCAGGCAUUUAAGAUUGGCUGUGGAGCUGCUAACAUAAUGAACUGCUUUAUUUUCCCCUGCUAAAUGUUAUUUUAAAAAAAGAAACCCGUGGAAAUGAGAAAUAAAGCUAGACUGGGUCCCUUACG
ensembl:lncRNA